rnacentral:rRNA from 1 species
CGGAGGAAAAGAAACUAACAAGGAUUCCCUCAGUAACGGCGAGUGAAGUGGGAAUGGCUCAAGCUUGAAAUCUCUGUUGCUUGCAACAGCGAAUUGUAGUCUCGAGAAGCGUUUUCCCGGCGGAUCUAUCCUGCCUAAGUUGCUUGGAACAGCACAUCAGAGAGGGUGACAAUCCCGUUUGUGGCAGGGUAGACCGUUCAUGAUACGCUUUCUAUGAGUCGGGUUGCUUGGGAAUGCAGCCCAAAAUUGGUGGUAAACUCCAUCUAAAGCUAAAUAUUGGCACGAGACCGAUAGCGAACAAGUACCGUGAGGGAAAGAUGAAAAGAACUUUGAAGAGAGAGUUCAGUCAUAGCUGUUUCCUGA